AAUACCGAUGGCGAAGGCAGCCAUCUGGCCUAAUACUGACGCUGAGGUACGAAAGCAUGGGGAGCAACCAGGAUUAGAUACCCUGGUAGUCCAUGCCGUAAACGAUGUCUACUAGCCGUUGGGCCUUUGAGGCUUUAGUGGCGCAGCUAACGCGAUAAGUAGACCGCCUGGGAGUACGGUCGCAAGACUAAAACUCAAAUGAAUUGACGGGGGCCCGCACAAGCGGUGGAGCAUGUGGUUUAAUUCGAUGCAACGCGAAGAACCUUACCUGGUCUUGACAUAGUAAGAACUUUCCAGAGAUGGAUUGGUGCCUUCGGGAACUUACAUACAGGUGCUGCAUGGCUGUCGUCAGCUCGUGUCGUGAGAUGUUGGGUUAAGUCCCGCAACGAGCGCAACCCUUUUCCUUAUUUGCCAGCACUUCGGGUGGGAACUUUAAGGAUACUGCCAGUGACAAACUGGAGGAAGGCGGGGACGACGUCAAGUCAUCAUGGCCCUUACGACCAGGGCUACACACGUGCUACAAUGGUCGGUACAAAGGGUUGCUUCCUAGCGAUAGGAUGCUAAUCUCAAAAAGCCGAUCGUAGUCCGGAUUGGAGUCUGCA
rnacentral:rRNA from 2 species